rnacentral:rRNA from 1 species
UACGUAGGUGGCGAGCGUUGUCCGGAAUUACUGGGUGUAAAGCGCGCGUAGGCGGUAGGCCAAGUCUGCUGUGAAAUCGCCCGGCUCAACUGGGCGCGGUCGGUGGAAACUGGUCAACUGGAGGACGGUAGAGGCGAGUGGAAUUCCCGGUGUAGUGGUGAAAUGCGUAGAGAUCGGGAGGAACACCGGUGGCGAAGGCGGCCCGCUGGGCUGUUGCUGACGCUGAGGCGCGACAGCGUGGGGAGCAAACAGG